rnacentral:tRNA from 1 species
UAGAAGGGUGUUGGAGACUACUAUUCUUCGGGUGAUUAAAUUCAAUCUUUCUGG